CCGGCGCACGGGUGAGUAACGCGUGUGCAACCUGCCCGGCACAGUGGGAUAAUCCGGAGAAAUCCGGUCUAAUACCGCAUGACGCGGGAAAGGCGCAUGCCUUUUCCGCCAAAGGAGGUGACUCCGGUGCCGGCUGGGCACGCGUGACAUUAGCUAGUUGGCGGGGCGACGGCCCACCAAGGCGACGAUGCGUAGGGGUUCUGAGAGGAAGGCCCCCCACACUGGGACUGAGACACGGCCCAGACUCCUACGGAAGGCAGCAG
rnacentral:rRNA from 1 species